GGAUGUGAGGGCGAUCUGACUGUGACAUCUGUCACCCCAUUGAUCGCCAGGGUUGAUUUGGCUGAUCUGGCUGGCUAGGCAGAUGUUCCCUUCCUCCCUUACCGCUCCAUGUGCGUCCCUCGGUCGAAGAGGACGACCUUUCCCGAAUAGAGAAGGGCCGGUCUUUGGUCAAGGGUAUACGAGUAGCUGCGCUCCCCUGCUAGAACCUCCAAAUAAGGUCUCAAGAAAUAGUGUCACAGUGGUCCUGUUGAAACUGCAAGUACACCCUCAACUUCCUCCCCACACCGCCCUCAAAACUUGCCCCUUUGAAGGUCAGGGGCAUCCUUU
ensembl:misc_RNA 7SK 7SK RNA